UUCAGGAUGAAUCAUAUAUUAGCUAACAAGUUCCAAUUCCUUACAUUUCUUUCUAGAUGACUGCGCAUAUCAGAAUUUUGUUUUCCUACUUUCUCCGUUGAAUUGGUCGACGGUGAUUGAUAAGUUGUGCGUGUCUGUAUCGUGAUUGUUUUGUUAUCUGGUUUUGUCCUGGACGUGGAUGAAAGAGUAGGAUUAUGGUUCAGUAGAGUUCUGCAAGCACAACGACCGAGGCGCCGGUGGUGUCAGGUUUCGGUCCAGUCCCUUGCUACGCACGCUUGUGCUUCGCUGCGUGUUGAAUGAAGGAUUUCUUGGGAAGAGGUCGACGAUGCUCUCUCUCUAUCUCUGUGCACUUGGUUAUUGAAGACCGAGUUAGGUUGAAAAUUCCAUUUGGAAUCGUCCUUUCAAGAGGUUCACAAGCGGCUUGAUCAGUUUCGAUUUUGGUUAUGAACAUCGGCAGGUGUAGGUGUUAAUCAUGAAUAACAAUCCCCAUUUCGUGUCCAUGAAGGGCUGCUCUGUGGAUCACGCUUAUCGAUUACUGUGGCGAAGAAAAUUGUAAGCGUUACUACGAGAGCGAGCUUGUAGCUCUCUGUCGUCUCCGCUUCUGCAAUUGCUUGAAAAGCGGACUUUAUUUUACGAAGGGCGAGGAGUUGCCAUUUGCAUGCACGGAUCGGUACAGGGCGCAGAGCAUCCGCCCGUGCACGCGAUCCCUUCACAGAUUCGACGAGGAUUAUUCUCCCCUCGCGAGCCGUGAGCUUGGGUUUCUGCGGGAUUAUAUUAACAUGUUGAGAUCGAGCACCGGGAAAGGGGUGAAGAUUCACUACGAUGAGCAUUCGGAUUUCACGACAGAGUGCCAGCAAGUCUUUAAACAGAUAACUCAAUUGAUUAGGUUCAAGGAAGGUUUCUCUGAGCUUCUUGUUCCGAGGAGGAGGGAGCUGCUUGCGCCAGUGCGCAUCUGGGACAAGGGCGUAAUUUUGCCUGGGGCUUGGAUAAUGUGCACAACCGAUUAUCAUCUUGUUUUCCAAGAUGUCGACGCAGACCUAAGCAUGUGCGAGGUGUUGACGAAGUCUGGAAAGAAAAUAUACAAAUGUGUGUUUCCAAACAGGUUAUUCGACCUCGAGAGGAUGCUUGCUGGGCUGAUACCUGUUGUGAAACACGAGAAUUUCGGCCUGGUGUCGUCAGGCUGGUCUUUCUGGGGCAUAAAUAUACUGCAUUCAUCCACCUUCGAUGAGCUUUUUCAGUAUUUGUUAUCUGGGCGAGAGGUUUUUGUGACAAAGCUACCAGGAGGCGAUCGGGCCACUCUUGUGUUGGGAUGAUUGUUUUCAGGAGCGCAUGACGUUUGUAAGAAAGAAUAAUCUUGAAGAUGUCGGAUCCCAUAAUGAGAGUGACGAUGGUGACCAACUGCCUGCAUUUUCCGUCAAACCUUUUCAAGCUCUUCUGUCAGGUUUGUUAUCACCUGACAAUUUGGUGGUGUAGACCUGUCUCGCCGACGUUGAUAUCCUUGCUAGUAGAUGCAUAAUUUCAAAGAUUGCUCGAGGAUAAUAUAGUGGCAAUUCUGCUUCUGGUGUAUUGCACGACAUCGAUCAGUUGAAUCUACUAUUUGCCGACUUUGAUAGUGAAAGUUGCCUGCACAUAUCCACCGCUAAAGCCGAGUCGACAUUCAUUUGGCAGUUAAGGACGUUGUGGUAAAAACUAUGGUGUCUGAGUAUUUUUUUUGGCAAAAAUCGAGUAUAUAUAUAUAUAUAUAUAUAUAACUGUCUGUCGUUUCCGAUGAACACUGACACGGCUGAUUAAUCUUCUCUUUCAGCUGCUCCCCUUGACUCCGCUGCCUCUUUCGUAUUGAAGAUUAGAGACAAAUUCAUACACCUUGGUACCGGCGUGUUCGUUUAGUUAGUAAAGAUUAGUUCAUUCUGAGGAGCGAGGGCGUCAAGCACAAUUGACGCACUGUUUAUAUUACGUAUACAUGAGUGUCACUUAUCUCGUAUUCUGACUGCAAGGACAUGCAAAAAGUGGAACUUAGACAGCGGUGGCUUUGCCACAGCCAGCCUGAACUGCGGAAGAUAUACUUGGUCAUCACUACUCCUGCCGGGAGAAAAGUUUUCAACCCUGUUGAUGCAAGUUUCUUUUUUCUGCCCCUACUGAGGUGCGCUGAGGACUUUCGGAUGUAAUAUGUCAAGCUUUGCGAAACAUGUUCCCGUGAUUACUUCAUUUUCAUCAACAACUCCGGAGACAAAUCUGUUGAACUAUGAACGAUUACUGAAUGACUCGAAAGAGAAAAUACCAGCUACUUCAUCCUUAAGAUUCGCUGUCGAAACCAUGGACGCGUUGGAAGGAUCGAUACACAAACUUGAAAAUGUCGAAAACGAUUGUACAAAUGCUGGUAGAGUAUUCCCUUACACCACAGUGAAGUAAACUCAUUGCAAGAGAACCUGUCAACGAAAGUAGCAGUCCAAUACAUGGGAGAACUCUUACCAUCGUCUGAAAGACGGUGAAAACUCUCAAAACCUAAGCUUGGAGAAGAACCACCUAUUCUUGCCAGUCUUAAACCUCUCUUCCAACACUGCUUUCGCCCCCUGUCAACAGAAGCCAUCAAUCGCUUAAUGAAGCUUGUAGUCAAGAAUUCUACAUGUUAACCUUGUACAGAAUGCAGGGUGAAGGUAAACUUAAAAGACGGCAUGCUUUCAAUCAGAAGGAAAAUGUUCAGUACUAAAAAACUAGCACUACAACUUAGUGAUCACUGGUAACCAGACCGACAGUGUAAUAAGAUUGAAUAGCUUGCAUGAUGACUACACAUGAGGGAGUUGAGGGAGUUCAAGGUAGUGGUUGAUUACCUUUCUAGCCUCAACACGGCCAGCAGUAGAUUCCAACUUGUCCGCGGUCAAAGUGCUCUUCAAAUCCACGUCCAACGAAUACCUGGAAUUAUUGAAGUAGGCACAUAAUAAUUAAACAACGAUUUUGGCUCAUUCAAGUCA